GGAGGUAGUGACAAUAAAUCUCAAUACGAAGCCUUUGGUUUUGUAAUUGAAUUGAGAACAAUGUACAAUCGUUAUCGAUAAACAAUUGGAGGGCAAGUCUGGUGCCAGCAGCCGCGGUAAUUCCAGCUCCAAUAGCGUAUAUUAACGUUGUUGCAGUUAAAAAGCUCGUAGUUGAAGUUAAGAUGAUUUGUUGAGAGUGUUAGUAUUCGUACUAUCUGCUCUCUUUAGAUUAUCGACUUCCAGGUAAGCUCAAUAAUCCCUCCGGGGACUAUCGAGCCAGACUGGUCUUUUACUGUGAGAAAAUUAGAGUGUUUAAAGCAGACUUUUUUAGUUUGAAUAGAUUAGCAUGGAAUAAUAAGAUUGGCUUUCAUAGUCGAUUUUUUGGUUUGUUUAUGAAAGCAAGAUUAAUAGGGACAGUUGGGGGUAUUCAUAUUCAAUAGCUAGAGGUGAAAUUCUAUGAUUUAUGGAAGAUGAACAAGUGCGAAAGCA
rnacentral:rRNA from 1 species